rnacentral:rRNA from 1 species
UUAAAUUAUAUGAGAUUUGUCCUGACCAAUGAUUAAUWUAAUGGCCGCGGUAUCUUGACCGUGCAAAGGUAGCAUAAUCAUUAGUUUAUUAAUUGUAAACUUGUAUGAACGGUUUGACGAAAUUAUAACUGUCUCAUUUUUAUUAUUAGAAUUUAAAUUUUAAGUUAAAAUGCUUAAAUUUUUUUGUAGGACGAGAAGACCCUAUAGAUCUUUAAUAAUAAUAAUUAACUUUUUUUAGAUUAUUUUUUAAUUUUAUUAUUUAUUAUUUUUGUUGGGGUGACAUAAGGAUAUAAGUAACUCUUAUUUUUAUUAUCCAUUUAUUUAUGAAUUAUUGAUCUUUUAUUAUUGUUCAUAAGAUGUAGAUACCUUAGGGAUAACAGCGUAAUCUUCUUUGAGAGUUCAUAUCGACAAGGGGGGUUGCGACCUCGAUGUUGGAUUAAGAUUAUACUUGGGUGUAGAUGUUCAAGUAUUAGGUCUGUUCGACCUUUAAAUUCUUACA